rnacentral:rRNA from 1 species
CCUACGGGAGGCAGCAGUGGGGAAUAUUGGACAAUGGGCGAAAGCCUGAUCCAGCCAUGCCGCGUGUGUGAAGAAGGCCUUCGGGUUGUAAAGCACUUUCAGUGGGGAAGAAAGCCUUGGGGCUAAUACCCUCGAGGAAGGACAUCACCCACAGAAGAAGCACCGGCUAACUCCGUGCCAGCAGCCGCGGUAAUACGGAGGGUGCGAGCGUUAAUCGGAAUUACUGGGCGUAAAGCGCGCGUAGGCGGUCUGAUAAGCCGGGUGUGAAAGCCCCGGGCUCAACCUGGGAACGGCAUCCGGAACUGUCAGGCUAGAGUGCAGGAGAGGAAGGUAGAAUUCCCGGUGUAGCGGUGAAAUGCGUAGAGAUCGGGAGGAAUACCAGUGGCGAAGGCGGCCUUCUGGACUGACACUGACGCUGAGGUGCGAAAGCGUGGGUAGCAAACAGGAUUAGAUACCCCUGUAGUC